rnacentral:rRNA from 1 species
AUUGAACGCUGGCGGCAGGCCUAACACAUGCAAGUCGGACGAGCGGCGGGCGGGUGGGUAAUGUAUGGGGACUGCCUGAUGGCGGGGGAUGACUAAUGGAAACUGUAGCUGAUACCGCAUACAGUCAGAGAACCCAUAUGGGAUUAGCUGGUAGGUGAGGUAACGCCUGACCUAGACGACGAUCCCUAGCUGGUCUGAGAGGAUGAUCAGCCACCCGGGGACUGAGACACGGCCCAGCCUCCUACGGAGGCAGCAGUGGGGAAUAUUGCACAAUGGGGGCAAGCCUGAUACAGCCAUCCCGGGGGUAGGAAGAAGGCCUGCGGUUUGUAAAGUACUUUCAGUAGGGAGGCGUUACCUACAGAAGAAGCACCGGCUAACUACGUGCCAGCAGCCGCGGUAAUAC